CCUACGGGAGGCAGCAGUGGGGAAUAUUGCACAAUGGGGGAAACCCUGAUGCAGCGACGCCGCGUGAGUGAAGAAGGAAUUCGGUAUGUAAAGCUCUAUCAGCAGGGAAGAAAAGGACGGUACCUGAGGAAGAAGCCCCGGCUAACGACGUGCCAGCAGCCGCGGUAAUACGUAGGGGGCAAGCGUUAUCCGGAUUGACUGGGUGGAACGGGAGCGUAGACGGCUGUGCAAGGCUGGAGUGAAAGGCGGGGGCUCAACCCCCGGACUGCUCUGGAAACUGUACGGCUGGAGUGCAGGAGAGGUAAGUGGAAUUCCUAGUGUAGCGGUGCACUGCGUAGAUCUUAGGAGGACCCCCAGUGGCGAAGGCGGCUUACUGGACUGUAACUGACGUUGCGGCUCG
rnacentral:rRNA from 1 species